UCCCUCUCUCUCCGCCUGCCUCUCUGCCUGCUUGUGAUCUCUGUCUGUCAAAUAAAAUAAAUAAAAUCUUUAAAAAAAAAAAAGCCAAACAAAUGAGAACAAACAGUAACAUCAACACCUGAAAUUAUUGUAUGUCAACUACACAGAACAGGGUCACCUGGGUGGCUCAGUGGGUUCCGCUCUGGUCGUGGUCCCAGGGUCCUGGAAUUGAGUCCCAUGUCCGGCUUCCUGCUCAGCAGGGAGUCUGCUUCUCCUGCUGCUGCUCCACUUGCUUGUGCUCUCACUCUCUCCCUCAAAUAAAUAAAAUUUAGGGAAAAAAAAAACCCUAUACUGAAGUAACAAACAAAUAAUAAGGUCAAAAACAGAAAUCAAGUAGCUGAUGCUGAGGUUCCCGUGCUGGGUUUGCCCACUGGACCCACUUCCCUCCCAUGCGCCUCAGAUGGCUGAGUGGGCAGUGGAUAACAACCUACAUCUGGGAGAAAAAGCUACACCAACCAAGCUGUGUUCGUACCAGAUACAAAAUAUGUUAAGGCAAGAUGCAUUACUAGUGAUAAGGAGGGUUCGGCGUGAAGCUACAGAACCUUUAAUUAGGAAAACAGAACCCUCCAUAUGGUCUUAUGCACUUGGUACCAUCGUCUCUGACAUGUGAUUAUUCUUCCUACAGGGGAGUGGAGGAUCUGGCCCUCAUUUCUAAGUAACUGAUUCAUUCCUCCAGCGAAUAUUUAUUAAGCACCUACUAUGUACCACGUGUCUUAUGAGAAUCCAACAGUGAACAGAAGAGGGCAGAAAUCCUUAAGCUCAAGGAACUGUGAUUCCAAGAUUAGAUCAAAGAGUCCCCCAAUUGAUUUUAUUUAUUUGACAGAGCGAGCAGAAGCAGGGGGAGCAGCAGAGGGAGAGGGAGAAGCAGACUCCCCACUAAGCAGGGAGCCUGAAGAGGGGCUCAAACCCAGGACCCUGGGAUCAGGACCUGAGCUGAAAACAGAUGCUUUACUGACUGAGCCACCCAGGUAUCUCUGUUUCCAUCUUUUUACCUCGGGGCAGGCUGACUAUAGGGUACACAGUAGAAUUCUACGAUGGACCCAGUGAUCUCUGUUCCCUACUCUUACACCUGCUAUGAUGUCACUUAAUAUUGCAAAAGGGAUUUUACAGAUACAAUCAAGGUAAUUUAUCAGUUGAUUUUCAGUUAAUCCAAAGGGAGAUUGUCUGGGUAGGUUUAACUUGAUCAGAGAAACUCUUCAAAAGCAGACUUUCUUCCAGCUAGUUGCAGAAUAGGAAGCCAGAGAUUCAAAGUGGGAGAAGGAUGUGACUGACAUGCCAUUGUUGGCUUCAAGAUAGGGGUGCCAUAGGUCAAAACCUCAGGAUUUAAAUUCUUCAACUGCAAGGAACUGAGUUCUGCCAGCAAGGCUAGCUGGAUACCGUUUCUUCCCUAGAACUUCCAAUGAGAAUUCAAGCUGGCCAUCACCUUUUUCUUUUUUUUUUUUUUAAAGAUUGUAUUUGAGAGAGAGACAGAGAGAGAGCAUGAGUGGGGUGGAGGGGGAAGGGCAGAGGGAGAGGGAAAAGCAGGCUCCCUGCUGAGCAGGAAUUUCCCCAUUCGGGACUUGAUGCCAGAUCUCUGGGAUCAUGACCUGAGCUGAAGGCAGACGCUUAGCCAACUGAGCCACCCAGACGCCCCAAGCUGCCCAUCAUGUCGACUUCAUCAUUUCGACUUCGACUUCACCCCAUCCCACCCCGCUGGAUUUCUGCACACAGAGCCCUGCACUGUGAAUGGGUGUCGUCUUAAGCAGCUGUGUGUUACAGAAACAAUGGGAACUGAUACACAUGGGUAUUUAUAUUGUUGUAGUUGUACCUUUUACAGAUGCUAUAAAUAUUCUUCGGUGUGAUUUCCUUAUUUAAUAAGCCUUUUUGUUGUUUGCGGAGUAUUUUUUGAAAUUUAUUUUUAAUGAGAUGUAAUUGACAAAUAACAUUGUGUAAGUUGGAGGUGUAGAGUGUUUUGACUGGAUACAUUUGUAGGUUAAAGAGAAAAUCAGCAAUGAAUUCUGUUGACUUCAGUGUGCCUUCAACAAUGUAGAUGGGAUGGGGUUGGGGGGAGGGAGGCAUCUGUAAAAACAAUGUAAAAAUCUGACCCUUGCGAUAAUGACAAUAUGGCUUCCAGACAAAUCAUGGGGUCAUGGGCCCUUUUUUUUUUUUUUUAUGAUAACUCUUUUAGUAGACUGCAUAAAGUUACCAUGCAAAGAUUACAAUGCUGGGCCAAGAAUGCCGACUACUAUUUAUGGAGGCCUAGAAUUUGGGAAAUGAUUCAGGCCUGUUUAUUCUAUGUAAUGAUGUUAUUGUUGAACUAAACAUAGGGGUUGUAAAGUGAUUCUGUAUGUUGGUCUAAAUGUGUAAAUAUUUCUGUUAUGGUAUCCGUAUGUACACUGGCCAUGAAUAUUUUAUUUUAUGGUGUGCUUGAAUUAAAUCCAUUACAAUCAAAGAAGGCAUUUGAACCUGGAGUGAAGCUGGCAUGGCUGCCAUAUCCUGAACCCAGAAGGCAUGAAAUUGCGACUAAUAAUACAAGGAAAUAGGGGCAUAAAACCUGGAGCCUUAAGAAGGCAGCACUGUUGCCUCUAAAAAACAAUUUAGCAGAUUUUAACAGAUGUGAGAUGAAUGGCACCGGAUAAAUGAAACCAAAUGUAAAUAAUCAGCCACAAGAUGGCAUUUGAGUACUGAUGAAUUUAAAGUUUGGGACUGUAUUGUGACUUAAACACAUGUUUGUCUCAACCUCUUCCCUCCCCUGGUCACUUUUUCUCAUAUCACCUUGUCAUAAGACCAUCAGGCUUAUUUUUUCUAUAGCCUAACAGUCCUAAAAUAUUUAUUUUUCAGCUUUUUAAAAAUCUCUUGUUAGUGGUUAGUUUUAUGUCAGGUUGAGCCACGACAUGCCCAGAUAUUUGGUCAGACAUGACUGUGGAUAGCUCUGUGAGGAUAUUUUUUAAUGAGAUUAACAUUUGAAUUGGUACACUGAGUAAAGAAGAUUGCGGUCUAUACUGUGGGUGGGCCCCAUC
rnacentral:lncRNA from 1 species